GAUGAACGCUGGCGGCGUGCCUAAUACAUGCAAGUCGAGCGAACAGACGAGGAGCUUGCUCCUCUGACGUUAGCGGCGGACGGGUGAGUAACACGUGGAUAACCUACCUAUGAGACUGGGAUAACUUCGGGAAACCGGAGCUAAUACCGGAUAAUAUAUUGAACCGCAUGGUUCAAUAGUGAAAGACGGUUUUGCUGUCACUUAUAGAUGGAUCCGCGCCGCAUUAGCUAGUUGGUAAGGUAACGGCUUACCAAGGCAACGAUGCGUAGCCGACCUGAGAGGGUGAUCGGCCACACUGGAACUGAGACACGGUCCAGACUCCUACGGGAGGCAGCAGUAGGGAAUCUUCCGCAAUGGGCGAAAGCCUGACGGAGCAACGCCACGUGAGUGAUGAAGGUCUUCGGAUCGUAAAACUCUGUUAUUAGGGAAGAACAAAUGUGUAAGUAACUAUGCACGUCUUGACGGUACCUAAUCAGAAAGCCACGGCUAACUACGUG
rnacentral:rRNA from 1 species